rnacentral:pre_miRNA from 7 species
AUUUUAAGGUUUCAAAUUCCUUGCCUUGCAAGUGAAAGAACCUAGUGGGGAACCCCCCACUUAGCUCCCGAUUCGGUGUGCACCCAAGAAUCACGAAUAGAACA